AGAGACAUAAGUUGAGAUUUAAAAAAAACUUCAAAUCUUAUGAAGAAUUGAAGAUUUUGAAGAGAAUACUUGAUUUUCAGCCACAUAAAUCAGUAGAAACAAAAGUUUGAAUGAUCGAAGCCCAUGAACUCGAUUUGAUUUUACAGUAAAAGAGAAAGAAACGAAAAAGGGCUUCUGAAACAAAAACAGAGAGAGAGAGAACAGAGACUAAGAUAAGAG
rnacentral:lncRNA from 1 species